rnacentral:lncRNA from 1 species
AAAUUUCCCAUAGGAAUGGACUGAAAACCAAUUAAUCCGUUCUGGCUGUUUUUUUGUUAUGUAGAGGUGCGUUCGUGCAUUAACCAAAGCUGGUUAAUAUGUACUCUACCACUAUGGGGAGAAUUUUUUUUAACCUCAGAUGACCUCCAGGAGCAGAGAAGGGAAAGAAUAAAUCAGUAACACAGGAGGAAUCACACUGCAGAGAACAGCAAGGGGGAAGAAGCCUAGCCACUCUUAACUUUAUAUUUUAACAUCUAUGCCAGAUGACUUAAUGCCACGUCAGCUUUGUCUACUGCUAAUGGAGAAUGGGGUGCAGACGAAGAAGAUUAUGCACAUUAUCUCCUAUUAAUCCCUUACAUCUAUGCCAUACAUCAAUAAAAAUGUUUGAAUAUUUUUAUGCUUUUCCUUAGAGGUGUAGUUUUCCUUUAAUUAUUUAUUUACGUAGUGUUUCCAAUACAAAAUAGUGCUCAAGGUGGCUUAUAGUCUUCAU